CAGAUGCUAAUACCGGAUANAACAGAUGAUGCCUAUCAACUGUUUAAAAGAUGGUUCUGCUAUCACUCUUGGAUGGACCUGCGGUGCAUUAGCUAGUUGGUAGGGUAACGGCCUACCAAGGCGAUGAUGCAUAGCCGAGUUGAGAGACUGAUCGGCCACAUUGGGACUGAGACACGGCCCAAACUCCUACGGGAGGCAGCAGCC
rnacentral:rRNA from 1 species